CCUAAAGUCAUUUUGUCACAAAACUUCACGAAUCAUUCAAGUCAAAAUCAUGCGACCAAGAAUAAAUUUUCUGCACCAAAACAAAAUAUUACACAAGUUCGCACGGAGAGUCAGAAAACACUUGAGCGUGCGCAGUUAUGCAACCAAUAAUGAGAGCUGUAAAUUACUUAAAAUGAAACGCAACUCUACUUAUGAUAAGGUACCGAAAAGCAGCGGUGUCGUAGCGGAAUGUAGAACACCCAAUAAAAUUUACCCCAUGGUUGAAGCUGUGGAGAAAGGGUCACUUCCUGGAUGCGCCAUGAAAAAACUGGGCAUGUACUCGAAGUACUCCGGCAGCUGGUCUUCGAACAUCACCUUAGCGGAUUACUUCGAACGAUACUUUUAUUAAUCGAAAAUAAAAAUUCUGUAUUAAA